rnacentral:lncRNA from 1 species
CAUCUUUUUAGCUUCAAAUUCUCAGUUUGAUAACAAUAGAAAUACUGCGGAAAACGUAAUCAAAAGUAAUAACAGCCCAAGGGAUCCGGCGUCACAAGUCAGAGCCUCUAGAUACAACAAAACAGUAUCCUAAACAAGGAAAAUCAAGAUGCGAAAAUAAAAGAUAAGAUAAGAGGAGAAAUUAGGUCCUGCAGACACCAGCAGCUACCUCGAUAUCUUCGGAACCUAACUAGGCAACAGCAGAUAAGCACAGCUAAGUCUUCGAGAUCCCUGUAUCUGCACACAAUGUGCAGGGAGUAGAGUGAGUACUUCCAACUCAUUGAGUAGUAGUAAUAAAUAACAGCUGAAUGUAAGAAAGCCGGUAAGAACACUAUACAGUUCUAAUAUCAACAGUAACGUCAUUGAAUAAUGCUAAAUAGGGGAGGGAAUCUGAUAAAUACUUCUCUUUCCGUCCGACUAGUUACUAACACUGUUGCAACGCGCAGCCCGAUCCAAUUCCAUGUAUAUAAUGUUGCGGCGCACAUCCUGAUCUAAUAUAAUAUAUAUAGUGUUGGUGCGCGUAGCCCGAUCUAAUAUAAUAUAUAUAAUGUUGCGGCUCGCAGCUCAAUCCAAUAAUAUAGUCUACUGCGCUCACUAGGGGUGUGUGCAGACUCUGGAGGAGCUCAUUUAGCCCAAGCGCUAUAAUACUGCGGCGAGUAGUCCGAUCCAUAUAAUAUAUCACUGCGGCGUGCAGACCGAUCCAUAUAAUAUAUUGCUGCGAUGUACAGUCCAAUCCAUAUAAUAUAUAUAAUGCUAUGGCACGCAGCCCGAUUCAAUAUAAUAUAUCAAAUACCCUCACUACGUGGUCCUUGACCCCUCUUAAUCAAUAUAGUCUUGGCCUCUCGGGCCCACUCGGCUAAGACAUGGUAUUCAACCCUAGGUGUUGCUCAUUUAGGGUGCAAGUUACUACGUCUAGUAGCUUUCAUGAUUUACAGUCAAAGUCAGGACAGAUGAUAUGUGUUCAAUAGGUAAAGUGAGGUCAAUCGGCUCAACAUGCUUCCUAGGAGUUCUACAGAUCAGCACAAGGCCCCAAACGUGGCAACUAACCCAAAUAUAUAUGGGUACAAGCUCAUUCUCAGUCAAAAAGUGUAAUAAGUCAUCAAUCGGGAUGAACCAAGCCCGAGUCCCCAGUAGAAACGUCACCACGCUCAUCAUAUGACGCGUGCUUUAUCUCAACAUAGCACCGCAUAGUGCAAAUAUGGGGUUUCAAACACUCAGUAUAUCAUUCAUCACCAUUACUCACCUCAAACCGGCAAAAACCCUAGCUUGCCUAGCGCUUUCCUGGCAAAUCGACCUCCUCAGGUGCAGAAUCUGACCAAAACCACAAGGAAUAUGUUACAAUAGUUUAAUGGGACAUAACCCAAUAGAAAGAACUCGAAAAACACCCAAAAACACGAAGUUGACAAAAUCCGAGCCCUGGGACCACUUCUCAAAAAAUUACAUAAUUCACAUCACCGGAAGCCUCGUCUCGCCACAAGUCCGUACAUACAAAGAACUCCCAAAUCCGAGUUCAAAUGACCUAUCAAAUCCUAAUUUGAAAUAUUAAAAAAACUCAAGCCCUAGUUUCUUCAAUUUCAUACCCAAAUUCAGAGAACUAAUGAAUGAUUCUUCAACAAUAUCACGUAUUAAGCUCAUAAAACUUACCUCCAAUCACUUCCCGUUGAAACCCUCUUCAAAAUCUACCAAAUAGCUCUCAAGGUGGUGCAAAAAUGGUGGAAAAUUGAACCCAAGUCGCGGAUGAAAUGCCAUUUUAAAACCCUUCUAUGAAUAGUCAUUUUUCGCUUCUGCGGUCCUAUUACCGCUUAUGCGUGAUCGCUUCUGCGGUCAUAACUCCGCCUAUGUGAUUUUUCAUAAAACCCCAUCAGCCGCUACUGCGACAAUCAUUUCCGCUUCUGCGGAUUCCUCAUCUCCAGGCCAAAACGCUUCUGCGACCUCACGUCCGCUUCUGCGGACUGGCUUAGGCGAAAAGAAUUCUGCUUCUGCGGAACUACCCAGCUCCACAUCAGACCACUUAUGCAACCAACAUCACACUUCCGCGGAGUCGCUUCUGCGGUCCAUUUCCGUAGAAGCGCUCAUACCAGAUACCAGCGAGAUCUGCCACUUCUCAACUUGAGAUUUCAUCUCGAUAGCCAUUCGAAAUUACCCUGAGGCCCCAGGACCUCAACCAAAUGUACCAACACAUCCCAAAACCUCAUACAAACUUGCUCCAAUCCUUAAAACACAUGAAAUAACGCUAAAACCAUUAAGACACAUUAGAUUCAACCCUAAUUUUCUUCAAAGCUUCCGAAACUCGAAUUCGAUCAAAAACCCGACCAAACGACGUCCGAAUAACCUAAAAAUUUGCAGACAUAUCCAAAAUCACCUAACAAAGCUACUCCAACUCUUGGAAUUUCAUUCCGAACCUCGGAUAAAAAUCUCACUUUCCAACCGGAAUCCGCCAAAAUUCAAACUUCGCCAAUUCAAGCCUAAUUCUACACCAUACCUCCAAAUUCAAUUUCAAUCGUACUCCUAAGUGACAAAUCAUCCCCCGAAGCUAAUCGAACCACCGGAAUUCACAUCUGAGCCCUCUAACCAUAUAGUCAACUUCUCUUUGACUUUUCUAAUACAAGCUUCCAUCUAAGAGGCUAUGUGCCUUAUUUUCAACCAAAACCAAUUCAAUUACACACGAUCAACUCUAAUACUGACAUUGAGACAUGAAGCAACACCAUAAGGGAGGAAACGGGGCGGUAACUUACGUGACAACGGGUCGGUCGUCACAUCCUCCCCAACUUAAACAAACGCUCGUCCUCGAGCGUACCCAGUGUCAUCCUAGAAGUACACCAAUAGCCGAAUAACUUUACCAUGCAUAUAAACCGGGGUGAUCCUACGUCACCCUAUCCCGUACAGGCCCGACAACACAAUAUAGUUGAAAUUUUUCACUCAUUUCACCCAUUUAGUCCUUAAACCAUAGAACUAUAUUUCAUCCUUUGAAAUCUUACACAAGAUCAGAACCUCACAUUUUUUUUCUCAGAAUAAACCCGAACCAGUUUUAAUAAUCCAUACCUGCAACCUCGGCUGCAAUCAUAUGAUAUCCCACAUAACUCAAACACAUGCAACGAUAACCUCCAUUCACCGCAAUUGCCCACGAUAGUCGGAUAUCGAUAGAAAAAAACUUUUUGUUAGUUUCAUAUACUGCCAACGGUAACAGAAACACGCGAUAAUCCAAACCAUCCUCUCAGAUCAACCAUUCAUGAGUCCAUUUCCUUUCUGACUGAUACUACAAUAGAGAUUCAGAGCCAAAUCUCAAUAGUAACUUUCUAACAUGCUGACCGGCAAUUGCCUACAAUAAUCGGAUACCAAUACAAAACCUUUUUGUUAGCUAAAGUAUUAUUCCCACACAUUCAUAUACUACCAACGGUAACUGAAACACGCGAUAUACCGAGAUCAACCAUUCAUGAAUCCAUUUCCCUCUUGACUGAUAUUACAAUAGAUUUCCGAGACAAACCUCGAUAUUACCUCUCUAAUAAGUUGAAAUCAAAUUGCUUCAUGCUCAUUAAUGAAUCCAAUGAUUACUUCGACUCUAACCACCCUUCUGGUGAUAUGACACCACGACACAGGCCUAAGCCACAAUUUGCGUAAUAACGCACCAAUGAGAAGCAGUCUGAACAUACUCAAAUCAUGACAAUGACUCAACGAAAAAGCUGUACCUCAAGCUCAACAACACCAUUACAACACAAAACUGAGAUCCCGCCUCACAUCAUAAAAAUAGAGUACCUAAAUUCUCCUUGAAGGGUCAUAUCUUCACGUCGCCUUGCCAUAACGCGUGAUCCUACCCAAACACUAUUACCCAUGAAGCUCAAAUAAUUCUCCUCGAAUUGUCAUAACUUCACGUGGCCUUACCACAACGCGAGAUCCUAUCUAAACACUAUUACCCAUAAAGCACCUCAAGUCACCAUGCUCAACACGAUCAGCCACGCACAGAUUGAGGUCUGAAACCACGCAAUCCAUCACAUCCACGGUAAAGCAAUUAAUAUACACUAUUCAAUUCUGAAAGGACCCAACCGAAGCGCUAUUCGCCGAGCAAACCCCAAUACGGAUUUUCCCCAGAAACCUGAAAGCAACCCACGGUGAAGCAAUUAAUAUACAUUAUUCAAUCCUGAAAGGACGCAACGGAUGCGCUGUUUGCUGAGCAACACUCAAUACGGAUUUUCCUCAGAAACUAGGAAGCAAGGCAUACAAAGUAACAUAUAGGAAACUGUUCUCCACAUCACACUGUUGUGGCGUACAACUCGACCCAGAUAACAUACAUGUGGCUGUGUGCCACUCGAUUCACCCAAAUAUCUCACAUAGGAGAUGCACAUCGAGCCAAAUUUUGCUCAUUACAAUAAACACAUAUAGUCUCAUGUCUGGCCAUAAGAAGCGCAUCUGAACAAGCCCCAAUAUCGGAACUGAAUCAAUGGUAGAAACAUCUGCACUGACAUCCGCCACGAAGGCCCAAUUAAUGAAUCAAUGCUUUCCAGUCAUCCGCUGGUCUCUGGAAUACAAGCUACCCUGCUAGAACAUAAUCCGAUGCACCUGGCCACGCAGCCUGUGGCAUUUCCGACAUAGCCCAUAACAUAUUAGUCUAGACAAUUUGACACUGAACAACCAGUCUGCCAUCUAAUAUCAUAACCCAAAUUUAACAUACCACGCAAGGAAAGAUCUACUCGGACCUCCAAUUUCCAAUAACCGCUAGACGAUGUCGAUGCACACGAUCUACAACCACUGCACAGGCGGGUCACUAGAACUUCUAGUCUCCAACACAUAUAACACAUGAAUCAGUAUGCCCGAUCCCACACUCCACCAUACGAAUACAUAACAAACAUCGAGUACCCAUUCAUACCACGAAAGAUAUUCAAGAAUUUCCCUGCGCCAUCAACAACCCAAUUAUCAACANNNNNNNNNNNNNNNNNNNNNNNNNNNNNNNNNNNNNNNNNNNNNNNNNNNNNNNNNNNNNNNNAACCCAAUUAUCAACAGUCGAUCCCACAAGAAAAAUGUCGCAAUACUACUGAAGUAUCAUCAGUUUACAUCACCUUACCCUUUUUGACUGAACAUAUACCCUUGUCAAAUGACUACAAUAGCAAUACCAUUUCUUUAAUCAUCUGAAGAUCGAUUCUUCAUUCACCUGCAACUGCCCGUGUUGCUCAAGAAUUUAAUGACCUCCCAUUAUGAACUGAACCAAGACCUUGAACACGCAAAUCCGAAUUCUCCAUAUCAUAACACAUAGACCAUACCACACUAGGAUAACAUGAGGACUCCUAUCUCUCUUCUACGCUGCAGACAUCGACACACUCAACUAGUCAAGACUUUCAUGGUCCCCUAUAGGAGAAAAAUUAUUACACACUCCAUGCUUCGCAUACCCAUAGGAAUAUACUCAUUUUAAACCACGGUAAAACACAUCAAGAACUCUUUCUCCCAAUACCAUUGCACAAGCGAAACUGCCAGGACUGAAUCCUUCUACCCAAACCAAGUUAAGCAAACUACCAGCACUUGAAAGUUUUGUUGCACAAUACCUGUAAGGCUCAUUACCUCGAACACAUACAAUAAUUAAUCAUAUCCUUACCAUACCGAUUCGGUUCGUUAUCAAGCUAUUCUAUUUAUCCAAUUUCCUUCCCGAUUCAUCUUUGAUCCGAUAUUCUCCUUUGCUAUAGCAUGACGAUACCUCAACCCAUGUUACCACACGAGAUUCGCACAUAAAACCACACUGUCUAAGACCCAUAGGCCACUGAAUACCCUCUCAAACAUUUUCCAGAAGUACCACAUUCCAGAAUGCUUUACUUUGAAGAACUUCAUGCGAUCCUGAAUUCAUUUACCAUAACCAUCCAAAUGCGGAUACGUAGAAUCCCAUGAUUAACACAAAGUACCACAAGUCUUGAUCUUUCUAAUGAAAACACGGUCUCUAGCCACAUACACAAACUUAAGACACAUGAUUGUUACAUGCAAAAUAUUGAACGCAGUAAAACCAUUCUCGAGAGUCAUUCACUCUUAUUCAGCUGUAAUUCCCCUUCUUUGAAUGAACGGAAUCACUCGUGCCUCAUUAGAACCAUGACACCGCAGAACAUGAUUUCAUACAGAUACAAACAACAAUCUUUCUUCUCUAUACAGUGAGCAUUCUUUAUCAUCAACAGCUCAAAACAUCCCAGUAUUUUCUCACACCUACGAAGCACCAUAUAACCUUUGUAAAGAAUUUCCUUCACCCGUUCCAUCCUCGGCUCAAUUUAUACAACCAGAGCUAAUCCGCCAUCAUCCCUCGAAACGGAACCAACAUUGCACAUAACCGUGCAAUCAGCUGACCAACAACAACCUCCCCAACUUGGCUCCAAGCCAUAUAUCAAGGCACGCUUAACAACUCAUAGCACUUUUACUCCAAUGAUGCCACAAUUUUAUAGUGAGAUUAAACUCAAGUCAUUUACAAGUUUGUGAAUACACCGAUCAGCUAGCACUGACAUGCUUUGCAAAACUCGAAUUCAUUUCCACAUGAGUUGAGUCCAUUCCUUAAGCGUCCCCGAAUUCUCAAAUUUCAACACAUACCCGACAUGCUUUGCAAAUCUCGCAUUCAUUUCCACAUCAGCUGAGUCUAUUCCUUAAGCGUCCCCAAAUUCUCAAAUUCCAACACAUACCCUUCGAUUACACAUGAGACCUUCUAACAUAAACAUAAGGAUCAUACCCCUCAAAAACACUCCGCAGGAGAUAACCCACCUGCUUCGCCUCCUUUCAAUAUUUCAACAUGCCUUCCGCCAUCAUAUAUGUUACACAAUCAAUUAGUCUUCCUGAGUUUGAGCUCAUACCGCCACAUGAAAUGUACAUUUUCCCACUAAGAGAGAUGAAAAAAUAUUCUUCACGUGCCCAUAACUUGGGGCUACACAUCAGACCGCAAUAGAAAACAAACACUUAACAGCUCAUCUAUUAUCCAUCAGACUUCUUCGUCACUACUAAAAUCAUAUAGAUACCCCUCGCAGUACUCACAUACUCAUCACAUGCAAAUCCCACCACCAACCGGCUAAUAAGAAGAUUACUGAACAUAUAAGUUCAGAUAAAAUCACAUAGAUACCCCUCGCAGUACUGACAUACUCAUCACAUGGAUAUCCCACCUCCAACUCGGCCAAUAAGAACAUUACUAAACACAUAAGUUCAAAACACUUGCUCACACAAUCAGCACCUCGGUGCUCAGGCUAUAGGCAAAGAUCCGCCUCAAAUCCUCCUGACUGGCCCAGCAUAAACUCACGGAGAUUGCAUCUCGCCCCUCAAUCGGGGAAUCACAAGUCAUCCCGGCACAUAUACUACAAAGCGCUCGUGAGCAAACAGACGUGUGGAAGGAAUUUCAAGAAUUAUAUCUCAAGCUUAAUCAAGUACGCACGAUUAGAAUUCCAAUAAAGUGAAGUUUUCCUAAAGGUUUUGCAGCCUCUCGAGGAUAAAUACAGAUGUCUCCGUACAGAUCCGCGAGACUCUACUAAACUGGCUCAUGACUCGCGAGGCCUGGUAACCUAGGCUCUGAUACCAACUUGUCACGGACCAAACCCUGGUCUUGAUGGAACCAAACACAUUUUUAGGCAAGCCUGACCAUUUAAACAUUCCUAGCCAAAUUAUUAACUUAAAUACUAUUUUUAGCAACCCAAACCCCAAUCGUGAUGGCAUCAAACACCUUGUUAGGCAAGCCAGACCAUUUCAACAUUUCCAUCCAAAUCAUUAACUUAAAAACCAUCGUUUUAGCUUAAAAUUCUCAGUUUGAUAACAAUAGAAAUGAAGCGGAAAACAUAAUCAAAAGUAAUAACAGCCCAAGGGAUCCGGCGUCACAAGUCAGAGCCUCAAGAUACAACAGAACAGUAUCCUAAACAAGGAAAAUCUAGAUGCAGAAAUAAAAGAUAGAUAAGAGGAGAAAUCAGAUCCUACGGACGCCAGCAACUACCUCGAUAUCUCCAGAACCGAACUAGGCAACAGUAGAUAAGCAUAGCUAAGCCUCCGGGAUCCCUGUAUUUGCACACAAGGUGCAGGGAGUAGAAUGAAUACUUCCAACUCAGUGAGUAGUAAUAAUAAAUAACAACUGAAUGUAAGCAAUCCGAUAAGAACACUAUACAGUUCUAAUAUCAACAGUAACGUCAUUGAAUAAUGCUAAACAGGGGAGAGAAUCUGAUAAAUACUUCUCUUUCAGUCCGACUAGUUAUUAACACUGCUGCGGCUCACAACCCGAUCCAAUUCCAUAUAUAUAAUGUUGCGGCGCACAACCCAAUCUAAUAUAGUAUAUUUAAUGCUGCGACGUGCACCCCAAUCCAAUAUAAUAUAUAUAAUGCUGCGGCGCAUAGCCAGAUCCAAUAAUAUAGUCUAAUGCGCUUACUGGGGGUGUGUGCAGACUCCGGAGGGGCUUAUUCAGCCAAGCACUAUAAUAUUGCGGCGUGUAGUCCGAUCCAUAUAAUAUAUCACUGCGGCGUGCAGCCAGAUCCAUAUAAUAUAUUACUGCGGCGUGCAAUCUGAUCCAUAGAAUAUAUAUAAUGAGACAGCGCGCAACCCGAUCCAAUAUAAUAUAUCAAAUACCCUCACUACGGGGUCCUUGACCCCUCUCAGUCAAUAUAGACUUGGCCUCUCGGGCCCACACAACUAAGAGAGGGUAUUCAACCUUAGGUGUUGCUCAUUUAGGGUGCAAGUUACUACGUCGAGUAGCUUUCAUAAUUUACAGUCAAAGUCAGGACAGAUGGUAUGUGUUCAAUAGGUAAAAUGGGGUCAAUCGGCUCAACAUGCUUCCUAGGAGUUCUACAAAUCGGCAUAAGGCCUCAAAAAUGGCAACUAGCCCAAAUAUAUAUAAGUACAAGCUCAGUCUCAGUCAAAAAGUGCAGUAAGCCAUCAAUCGGGAUGGACCAAGCCCGAGCCCCCAGCAUAAACGUCACCACGCUCAUCGUAUGACGCGUGUUUUAUCUCAACAUAGCACCACAUAGUUCAAAUACGGGGUUUCAAACCCUCAGUAUAUCAGUCAUAACCAUUACUCACCUCAAACCAGCCAAAUUCUAGCUCGCCUUGCGCUUUCCUCGCAAAUCGACCUCCUCGGAUGCAGAAUCUGACCAAAACCACAAGAAAUAUGUUAUAAUAGGCUAAUGGGACAUAACACAAUCGAAAGAACUCGAAAAACACCAAAAAUACAAAGUACACUUCUCGAAAAAUUAUAAAAUUCAC